rnacentral:rRNA from 1 species
UGGGGAAUUUUGCGCAAUGGACGAAAGUCUGACGCAGCAACGCCGCGUGGGUGAUGAAGGUCUUCGGAUUGUAAAACCCUGUCGUCAGGGACGAAGGUUGGGGCCUUAAUACGGUUUCAACUUGACGGUACCUGGAGAGGAAGCCCCGGCUAACUCUGUGCCAGCAGCCGCGGUAAUACAGAGGGGGCAAGCGUUAUUCGGAAUUACUGGGCGUAAAGGGCGCGUAGGCGGUUCUUUAAGUCGGAUGUGCAAUCCCCGAGCUCAACUUGGGAACUGCAUCCGAAACUGGGGAGCUAGAGUGCUGGAGAGGGUGGUGGAAUUCCACGUGUAGCGGUGAAAUGCGUAGAGAUGUGGAGGAACACCAGUGGCGAAGGCGGCCACCUGGACAGUAACUGACGC